rnacentral:rRNA from 1 species
UACGUAGGGGACCAAGCGUUGUUCGGAUUUACUGGGCGUAAAGGGCGCGUAGGCGGCUUGACAAGUCACUUGUGAAAUCUCCGGGCUUAACUCGGAACGGCCAAGUGAAACUGUCAUGCUAGAGUGCAGAAGGGGCAAUCGGAAUUCUUGGUGUAGCGGUGAAAUGCGUAGAUAUCAAGAGGAACACCUGAGGUGAAGACGGGUUGCUGGGCUGACACUGACGCUGAGGCGCGAAAGCCAGGGGAGCAAACGGG